AUGUCGACAGACUUGGAUUGGAAUCUUUCUUGUCAUCAAGGCCAACUAGGAUCUCCUGUAAUUACUAAUGAUUUUACUGUUAAGCUGGAAGUCAGAAGACGCCUUGCUGCCGCUGCUGCUAAGGCCGGCCGGGACCGGGACGGAGCAGCCGGCGCCGAGGCAGGUGGUGGUGCUGACGGGCCGCAGCGCGGAGGCUGGCAUCGGCGGCGCCACCCCCCAAACAGGCAUCCGAAGUCUGCUAGAACAGUUUCUAGCCGCAGCCUUCCGCUGGUCCCAUCCCUGACCGCACGAACUGGAAGCCUCGUGGGUAAGUCAAAAUUUCCUCACGCACUUCCUUUUGAUAUAUUGGAGGACUUGGAUCAUCAACUCCCCGGAAGAAGUUGGCCACCAACGGCAAGGGAUUCAUUUGCAGAGUCUCUCUUCCUCUUCCUCCGGUAUUUGACAGGUAAAUCCAACCGGGUGGUGAAGGGUUUCCUGACAAGUUCUCCAAAAAAGGAAAAAAAAACAACAUCCAAUAUGCAGUACUUGUCAGAUAAAAUGUCCUCGUCCGAUCCACAAUAUAUCAAAUUAUGUUUGUUACAAGCAAUCACAGAGGAGUUUUCGGAGAAGAUGAAAAUUGGUACUGGUGGCUAUGGGGAAGUUUACAAGGGAGAGCUUAAUGGGGACGAGAUUGCUGUCAAGAAGCUUUUUCCCGUCCAAGGAGUUAAUGAUGAGUCAUUUGAUAAUGAAUUCCGUAACCUUAAGAAGGUUCGGCAUAAAAAUGUCGUACGGAUGAUUGGUUACUGCUAUGAGACAUCACAUAGAGAUGUUGAAUACAAAGGUCAAUUAGUUUGGUCUCAAGUAAUAAACAGAGCUCUCUGCUUUGAGUAUAUGAAGGGAGGAAGCCUUGCCAAGCAUAUUUCUGGAGAUUUUGGUUUGUCCAGGCUCUUUGGGAGUUCAUAUACCCACCAAAUAAGCACCAUGAAAGGAACAAUUGGGUUCAUGCCACAAGAAUACAUACACAAUCGCAAGGUGUCACCAAAGAAUGAUGUGUUCAGUCUCGGAGUCAUAAUUUUCCACAUGAUGGCGGGGGCAAAGGGUUAUGGCGAUUAUUGGGACGCACGUCGUCGCCCGAAUUUUUCUCCAAAAAUUCAACAAGAGUUUAUGGAGAGUGUACAAAUAUACUGGAGGAAAAAGAUGCAGGCAACUGAAGAUUAUAGAUGGGACGAAACCGAUCUACUAGGAGUAACGAAAUGUGUUGAUAUGGCAAUGCGUUGUGUGGAGGACGACAGAGACAAUAGACCUUCUACAGAGGACAUUAUCAGUGAGCUCAAGGAACUAGACUCAAAGAUAGACGAGAUGUUAAAGAAAGAUCCUAAACCUCUUACAGGCCAGCUGAAGAAGAGGCACAAGCACCAUGCCGACGAAUUGGAAGUGGUGGAUCAGAACAGAAGUUUCAAUGAUUUGAGAAGAGAUAUUGUGGUGGACCCUUGCCUAGAGCUCCGCUUCCCCUUCCAGCCAAAGAAGGACAUAUCGUGCUGCCUGCAGCUCACCAACAAGGCAGCGGCCAGCUUUGUUGCCUUCAGUAUAAACACCAACGUAAACAAGUACCGCUCACUGCCAAACAAAGGGAUUUUAGCUCCAUGUUCUAAGUGCUACAUCACCCUAACCUUGCGAGCGCAGCAGGAGUCACUGCCAAAUAUGCAGUGUGUUGAUGUGUUGGUUGUGCAGGGCAUAAGAGUGAGCGAGAACUUCACGUCUGAUGAAAUCACUCAAGACUUCCUGGCAAAUGCCGGCGCUCUGGAUGAGGUGAUGUUGCCCAUUGUCUAUGUUGCAUUGGACCACCAUCCUCUCUCUCAAUAG
rnacentral:rRNA from 1 species